AUGAUUUGGAUUAAAAUUUCCAGAUAUAGGAUUUAUGGUGUUCUCCUGUUAUAGGGAGUUGGAAUGGAGUUAGUUUAGUCUGUUAGGCUCAAUCGCAAACAUCUUCCAUGCAUAACAAAUUUCUUCCACAAACAACACCCUCUUACACGCUGCAUCACUACUUGUCUACCACCAACAUCCCUGAAACCGCCUUAUAAAUGUGCUACUGGAUCCAAAUCUAUCCCAAUUCACUGCAAUCUCACCACUCCUAUUCCUCUUCUCACAAGAAGAAUAAUAUAAAAUAAGAACACACUAACUCACAUCCUCAUCUCUCUCUUUCUUUCUAGAGCCAGAGGAAAGAGAGCUGUACACAAAACUUGUUCAAAAAUUUAGAAUAAGCAAAUCCCAAUUCAGCGUGUGGUAUCACUCUUUUUUCCAUUCAGAAAAUGGGGAGGAGUAUCGGUAGUAAGUUGAAUUUGUGGAAUGCAGUGGCUCCAGAGCCCAUCAUACAUCCAUGUAAGCCUUCAAAUUCUCCAGAGUUGGAGACGAUCGUGGAAGAGAGGGGUGAAGGUGACGACGAUGAUAGAUAUCAGCUGCAAACAGAAGGAUGUAGAGGAAACAAUAGCACUGUGACUGUGUUUCCAAUUUUGGUAUAGUAACUAGAUUUGUCUUACUUCCCUUUCACCAUUUUCUCAUAUGUAUGUAGCUUUUCAUAGUUUUUACCCCCUGUGAGUGGGUAAUAAAGUUUAUAUUUCCUCCC